UACGAAGGGGGCUAGCGUUGUUCGGAUUUACUGGGCGUAAAGCGCACGUAGGUGGAUCGUUAAGUGAGAGGUGAAAUCCCAGGGCUCAACCCUGGAACUGCCUUUCAUACUGGCAAUCUUGAGUUCGGAAGAGGUGAGUGGAAUUCCUAGUGUAGAGGUGAAAUUCGUAGAUAUUAGGAAGAACACCGGUGGCGAAGGCGGCUCACUGGUCCGAUACUGACACUGAGGUGCGAAAGCGUGGGGAGCAAACAGG
rnacentral:rRNA from 1 species